GACGAACGCUGGCGGCGUGCCUAACACAUGCAAGUCGAGCGAAUGAAGUUCCUUCGGGCAUGGAUUUAGCGGCGGACGGGUGAGUAACACAUGGGCAACCUGCCUCAUAGAGGGGAAUAGCCUUCCGAAAGGGAGAUUAAUACCGCAUAAGAUUGUAGUAUCGCAUGAUACAGCAAUUAAAGGAGCAAUCCGCUAUGAGAUGGGCCCGCGGCGCAUUAGCUAGUUGGUGAGGUAACGGCUCACCAAGGCGACGAUGCGUAGCCGACAUGAGAGGGUGGUCGGCCACAUUGGGGCUGAGACGCGGCCCAGACUCCUACGGGAGGCAGCAGUGGGGAAUAUUGCACAAUGGGGGAAACCCUGAUGCAGCAACGCCGCGAGAGUGAUGACGGCCUUCGAGUUGUAAAGCUCUGUCUUCAGGGACGAUAAUGACGGUACCUGAGGAGGAAGCCACGGCUAACUACGUG
rnacentral:rRNA from 1 species